rnacentral:lncRNA from 1 species
CCGCAUUCUCCGUCUUAACCAGCUCGCUCCUAGGUGCUUUUGUGGCUUCUGCACUCUACCAGCUUGGAGCCAGGGGCCUCAUUCUCUCUUGCAGUAAAAUGAGGCUGAUGACUGAGCCUAGGAGUUGCUGGGCAUCUGGUCUGCUGAUUACCACCUUGGUGCCCAAUGUCUGCCUGCCUAUCCACUGCUUUCAAACAAAGAGGCUGCCUGACACCACCCAGGGGGACGCCUCCCACCCUUGCCCAGCCUCAGCCAAUCUCCUCUUUCUCUUCUUCAGAGCUGGAGUUGUGCCCUCCUAUCCUCUCUCUGCCCACCCCAUCACUGCUGUACACCCUGCCCCUUGGCACUUCGGCCCCGGACUUGCUCCUCCUGGCAGGCCUGGGUGCUUGUGAAGCCGGGUGCCAGAGGGCCCAGCACGGCACGGCCUUUGAUUCUGUUUUCUGUAAAUCGACGACAAUAAAUUCUCUUUUUCCUUCA